rnacentral:rRNA from 1 species
UGCCAGCCGCCGCGGUAAUACGAAGGGGGCUAGCGUUGUUCGGAAUUACUGGGCAUAAAGAGUUCGUAGGCGGAAAUAUCAGUUGGAUGUGAAAUCCCUCGGCUUACCCGAGGAACUGCAUUCAAUACUGAAUUUCUGGAGUCCUUGAGGGGAAAGCGGAAUUCCAAGUGUAGCGGUGAAAUGCGUAGAUAUUUGGGAGAAGGCCAAUGGCGAAGGCAGCUUUCUGGCGAGUGACUGACGCUGAGGAACGAAAGUUAGGGUAUCGAACGGGAUUAGAUA